AUGGCCCAGGCGGUGAUUGGCGCGAUGGGCACCCUCCUGCCCAAGCUGGCCGACCUAAUCACCAAGGAGUACAACCUUCAGAGGGGUGUCACGGGCGAGAUCAUGUUCCUCAAAGCCGAGAUGGAGAGCAUGGAGACCUCUCUCCUCAGGAUUUCUGAGGCUCCAAUCGACCAGCCACCGGACAUCCAAGUCAAGAUUUGGGCCAAGGCUGUGAGGGACUUGUCAUAUGGCCUAGAAGAUAGCAUCAACAAGUUCAUGGUGCGCAUCGAAACCGAUGGCCGACCAGAUAAGUCCCAUAGCUUCAGGAAUUUCAUUGAUAAGAGCCUCAGCCUGUUGACCAAGGGCAAGAUUCGCCACAAGAUCGGCAUCAAUAUCAAAGACAUCAAGAGCCGCAUCAAGGAGGUCAGUGACCGGAGUGAUAGGUACAAGGUUGACAAUGUGGCUGCUGCCAAGCCCGUUGGUCCAGCUAUUGACACCCUUCGCCUAGUAGCCUUGUAUAGAAAGGCCACGGAGCUCAUUGGCACUGACGAGAAGAGCAUUGAGGUAAUCAAGAUGCUGACGGAGGGAGAUGAGGUUUCGGAGAAAUGUCUAAAAGUGGUCUAUAUUGUUGGAUUUGGUGGAUUGGGCAAGACAACCCUUGCCAAUGCAGUGUAUAAGAAGCUCAGAGUGCAAUUCGAUUGUGCGGCCUUUGUUUCCGUGUCUCUUAAUCCUAAUAUGAAGCAUAUUUUCAAGAGCAUGCUCCAUCAACUUGACAAGUAG
rnacentral:rRNA from 1 species